CUCUNANNGCCANUUAUAAUGGCCCUUACGACCAGGGCUACACACGUACUACAAUGGUGGGGACAGAGGGCUGCAAACCCGCGAGGGUGAGCCNAUCCCAGAAACCCUAUCUCAGUCCGGAUUGGAGUCUGCAACUCGACUCCAUGAAGUCGGAAUCGCUAGUAAUCGCAGAUCAGCAUUGCUGCGGUGAAUACGUUCCCGGGCCUUGUACACACCGCCCGUCACACCAUGGGAGUUUGUUGCACCAGAAGCAGGUAGCUUAACCUUCGGGAGGGCGCUUGCCACGGUGUGGCCGAUGACUGGGGUGAAGUCGUAACAAGGUAGCCGUAUCGGAAGGUGCGGUUGGAUCA
rnacentral:rRNA from 1 species